UACGGAGGGGGGCUAGCGUUGUUCGGAAUUACUGGGCGUAAAAGCGCACGUAGGUGGCUUUGUAAGUUAGAGGUGAAAGCCCGGGGCUCAACUCCGGAAUUGCCUUUAAGACUGCAUCGCUAGAACGUCGGAGAGGUAAGUGGAAUUCCGAGUGUAGAGGUGAAAUUCGUAGAUAUUCGGAAGAACACCAGUGGCGAAGGCGACUUACUGGACGACUGUUUGACACUGAGGGUGCGGAAAAG
rnacentral:rRNA from 1 species